rnacentral:misc_RNA from 1 species
CAGACGUGGCGGAGGAAGGAUCGAUUUUAUUUACUCCGUGGUGAGAUUAGAAGACUACGCCUUCGAUUCUCCACUGAGUCCUGUGUUUUCUCCAGUGACUCUGCAGCGAUGAAAAAUGGCCUUCUCGUAUGCCUUCUUCACAGCCUUUCUCUCUGCUGGCUUCCGGGACUCAACCAAUUUGGCUUUAUCCAGAGUAGAAUCUACACCCAGGGGUUCCAGCUUGAAACGUGGUAGCCACUGCCUGAAAUGUACAUAAAUUUUGUUGGGGGAGCUGUGUAAGGGCGGUAACGAGCAGGAAGAUGGUUGCCGUCGCUCGUUUGCUGGCUCGCUACCCCCACU